AAGUCGUAACAAGGUUUUCGUAGGUGAACCUGCGAAAGGAUCAUUACCGAAAAUGAAUGCAUUGCAUGCAAUGUACGGCAAACAUCUCUCCCCGAAGAGAGAUGAGCUGCAGUGGAGAGCGCUUCAAGGCGCAAACUGCUGUAGCGGCAGUGGCCAGUCCUGUGUGGACGAACACUGUUUCGAGAGCACCUCGUGUGCCCUGUGUUUGAAAAGGAAAACCCAAAGCAGAACAACUGCAAACGGUGGAUCACUCGGCUC
rnacentral:misc_RNA from 1 species